rnacentral:misc_RNA from 1 species
GAAAUGCGAUAAGUAGUGUGAAUUGCAGAAUUCAGUGAAUCAUCGAAUCUUUGAACGCACAUUGCGCCCUUUGGUAUUCCUUAGGGCAUGCCUGUUCGAGCGUCAUUUAAACCCUCAAGCUCAGCUUGGUGUUGGGCGUCUGUCCCCCCCACUACGUGGGCGGGGACUCGCCUCAAAUCGAUUGGCGGCCGGUACGUUGGCUUCGAGCGCAGCAGAAACGCGAACUCGGGCCCCAGCGAGCCGGCUCCCACAAGCCAUACUCCUAAUUUUGACCUCGGAUCAGGUAGGGAUACCCGCUGAACUUAA